rnacentral:rRNA from 1 species
CUUGCUAAGACUGAUGGCGACCGGCGCACGGGUGAGUAACACGUAUCCAACCUGCCGUCUACUCUUGGACAGCCUUCUGAAAGGAAGAUUAAUACAAGAUGGCAUCAUGAGUCCGCAUGUUCACAUGAUUAAAGGUAUUCCGGUAGACGAUGGGGAUGCGUUCCAUUAGAUAGUAGGCGGGGUAACGGCCCACCAAGGCGACGAUCAGUAGCCGGUCUGAGAGGAUGAACGGCCACAUUGGGACUGAGACACGGCCCAAACUCC